CCUACGGGGGGCAGCAGUAGGGAAUCUUCCGCAAUGGACGAAAGUCUGACGGAGCAACGCCGCGUGAGCGAAGAAGGUCUUCGGAUCGUAAAGCUCUGUUGUUAGAGAAGAACAAGUAUCGGAGGAAAUGCCGGUACCUUGACGGUACCUGACGAGAAAGCCACGGCUAACUACGUGCCAGCAGCCGCGGUAAUACGUAGGUGGCAAGCGUUGUCCGGAUUUAUUGGGCGUAAAGCGGGCGCAGGCGGUCCUUUACGUCUGAUGUGAAAUCUUGCGGCUCAACCGCAAGCGGUCAUUGGAAACUGGGGGACUUGGGUUCAGAAGAGGAAAGCGGAAUUCCACGUGAAGCGGUGAAAUGCGUAGAGAUGUGGAGGAACACCAGUGGCGAAGGCGGCUUUCUGGACUGUAACUGACGCUGAGGCGCGAAAGCGUGGGGAGCAAACAGGGUUAGAUACCCGAGUAGUC
rnacentral:rRNA from 1 species